GAUAGUGAACCAGUACCGUGAGGGAAAGGCGAAAAGAACCCCGGCGAGGGGAGUGAAAAAGAACCUGAAACCGUGUACGUACAAGCAGUGGGAGCACCCUUUGGGGUGUGACUGCGUACCUUUUGUAUAAUGGGUCAGCGACUUAUAUUCUGUAGCAAGGUUAACCGAAUAGGGGAGCCGGAGGGAAACCGAGUCUUAACCGGGCGUUAAGUUGCAGGGUAUAGACCCGAAACCCGGUGAUCUAGCCAUGGGCAGGUUGAAGGUUGGGUAACACUAACUGGAGGACCGAACCGACUAAUGUUGAAAAAUUAGCGGAUGACCUGUGGCUGGGGGUGAAAGGCCAAUCAAACCGGGAGAUAGCUGGUUCUCCCCGAAAGCUAUUUAGGUAGCGCCUCGUGAAUUCAUCUCCGGGGGUAGAGCACUGUUUCGGCUAGGGGGCCAUCCCGGCUUACCAACCCGAUGCAAACUGCGAAUACCGGAGAAUGUUAUCACGGGAGACACACGGCGGGUGCUAACGUCCGUCGUGAAGAGGGAAACAACCCAGACCGCCAGCUAAGGUCCCAAAGUCAUGGUUAAGUGGGAAACGAUGUGGGAAGGCCCAGACAGCCAGGAUGUUGGCUUAGAAGCAGCCAUCAUUUAAAGAAAGCGUAAUAGCUCACUGGUCGAGUCGGCCUGCGCGGAAGAUGUAACGGGGCUAAACCAU
rnacentral:rRNA from 1 species